rnacentral:lncRNA from 1 species
UAGUUUGUUCCGUUCCACCCACGUAUGUCUGUAAAAGUCUCCAGACCUAUCCAAUGUAAAAACCAGCAAGGGCUCCUUUUCGUAAAUAGAUUGAUUCCUUCAACGUCAUCACCAAUUCCAUAGUCCAUAGCGCGUGCUUUUGAGUGGCAGUAGCAUCGCCGGACUGUGCCACGUUAGAGUCAAUAAACAUGGGGAGGCGAAUUCUGCGGAGUUGUGGCAUAAUAGGCUUUGUCACCCGUCUUCACAAACUAUCAACAUUAUCAAUUAAAGACUAAGAAAAUAAAUUGUCAUAAGAAUUGCAAGAUUUGUCCACUGGGAAAGCUAAAGAAAUUACCUUAUUCAAGAAGACUUACAUAUGCCUACAAGGUGUUUGAUAAAAU